rnacentral:rRNA from 1 species
AGAGUUUGAUCCUGGCUCAGGAUGAACGCUGGCUGUGUGCCUAAUACAUGCAUGUCGAGCGGAAGUAGCAAUACUUUAGCGGCGAAUGGGUGAGUAACACGUGCUUAAUCUACCUCUUAGAUUGGAAUACCUAAUGGAAACAUUGGUUAAUGCCGGAUACGCAUGAAGUCGCAUGACUUCGUUGUGAAAGGAGCGUUUGCUCCGCUAAGAGAUGAGGGUGCGGAACAUUAGCUAGUUGGUGAGGUAAUGGCCCACCAAGGCUAUGAUGUUUAGCCGGGUCGAGAGACUGAACGGCCACAUUGGGACUGAGAUACGGCCCAAACUCCUACGGGAGGCAGCAGUAGGGAAUAUUCCACAAUGAGCGAAAGCUUGAUGGAGCGACACAGCGUGCACGAUGAAGGCCCUCGGGUUGUAAAGUGCUGUUGCAAGGGAAGAACAGUUAGUUGAGGAAAUGCUUCUAAUCUGACGGUACCUUGUUAGAAAGCGAUGGCUAACUAUGUGCCAGCAGCCGCGGUAAUACAUAGGUCGCAAGCGUUAUCCGGAAUUAUUGGGCGUAAAGCGUUCGUAGGCUGUUUAUUAAGUCUGGAGUCAAAUCCCAGGGCUCAACCCUGGCUCGCUUUGGAUACUGGUAAACUAGAGUUAGAUAGAGGUAAGCGGAAUUCCAUGUGGAGCGGUGAAAUGCGUAGAUAUAUGGAAGAACACCAAAGGCGAAGGCAGCUUACUGGGUCUAUACUGACGCUGAGGGACGAAAGCGUGGGGAGCAAACAGGAUUAGAUACCCUGGUAGUCCACGCUGUAAACGAUGAUCAUUAGUCGGUGGAAAACUACUGACGCAGCUAACGCAUUAAAUGAUCCGCCUGAGUAGUAUGCUCGCAAGAGUGAAACUUAAAGGAAUUGACGGGGACCCGCACAAGCGGUGGAGCAUGUGGUUUAAUUUGAAGAUACGCGGAGAACCUUACCCACUCUUGACAUCCCCUGCAAAGCUAUAGAGAUAUAGUGGAGGUUAACAGGGUGACAGAUGGUGCAUGGUUGUCGUCAGCUCGUGUCGUGAGAUGUUUGGUCAAGUCCUGCAACGAGCGCAACCCCUAUCUUUAGUUACUAACGAGUCAUGUCGAGGACUCUAGAGAUACUGCCUGGGUAACCGGGAGGAAGGUGGGGAUGACGUCAAAUCAUCAUGCCUCUUACGAGUGGGGCUACACACGUGCUACAAUGGUCGGUACAAAGAGAAGCAAUAUGGCGACAUGGAGCAAAUCUCAAAAAGCCGAUCUCAGUUCGGAUUGAAGUCUGCAAUUCGACUUCAUGAAGUCGGAAUCGCUAGUAAUCGCAGAUCAGCAACGCUGCGGUGAAUACGUUCUCGGGUCUUGUACACACCGCCCGUCACACCAUGGGAGCUGGUAAUACCCAAAGUCGGUUUGCUAACCUCGGAGGCGACUGCCUAAGGUAGGACUGGUGACUGGGGUGAAGUCGUAACAAGGUAUCCCUACGAGAACGUGGGGAUG